rnacentral:lncRNA from 1 species
UUUUUCAUUGAAAUAUCCUAAAAUAUUAUCUAGGUUCAUAAAUGAUAGAAAAAUUACAUCAAUAAUUAAUGUUAAUUUUCAUAAUGCAAUUUAAUAAAGGCAGUUUUUUAAAGAAAACCAAUAAUAAAUAUGUCAAUCAUGGUGCAGAAAUGAGCACACUAUAUAGUAAAAGUGUCUUUUACAAUCUGGAGGAUAUAAAUUCGAUUCCAACUAUCAUACUUUCACAUUUCACCUUGAAGAUCUGUUGGCUGACCCAAUUAUGGUGUGGGCAGUUUGCAAUAGGCUCUGGAAUAGCCUACUUGUUUAAUAAUUUCUGAUUGAAAAGCAAUGUAAAAAUUAGAAAAUAUUAGCAGCUAAACAACUUAGC